rnacentral:rRNA from 1 species
GUGGGGAAUAUUGGACAAUGGGCGAAAGCCUGAUCCAGCCAUGCCGCGUGAGUGAUGAAGGCCUUAGGGUUGUAAAGCUCUUUCAGUAGGGAAGAUAAUGACGGUACCUACAGAAGAAGCCCCGGCUAACUUCGUGUCAGCAGCCGCGGUAAUACGAAGGGGGCUAGCGUUGUUCGGAUUUACUGGGCGUAAAGCGCACGUAGGCGGAUUGGUCAGUUAGAGGUGAAAUCCUGGAGCUCAACUACAGAACUGCCUUUAAUACUGCCAGUCUAGAGUCCAGAAGAGGUGAGUGGAACUCCUAGUGUAGAGGUGGAAUUCGUAGAUAUUAGGAAGAACACCAGUGGCGAAGGCGGCUCACUGGUCUGGUACUGACGCUGAGGUGCGAAAGCGUGGGGAGCAAACAGGAUUAGAUACCCUAGUAGUCC